rnacentral:snoRNA from 1 species
CCCUCCUACAAAUGCAAGACUAUGGUUCCCCGUCCUUGGACGUGUAAGAAUUGAAGGCAAGGAAUGUGGACCUGGAGAAAUCUAGAGCUGGCUUGCUACCCACAGGCUCAAGACCACACUUUCCUGCACCC